AUUUCGGCUUGUCAGCCACAAACGGUUUCAACAGGCAUCUGAAUAGACCUCUUACAUGUACACUGCGAUCCAGAGGACUGAUGGCUGCCUACUGCAUGGGGAAUGAAUAUUGCUGCCAGUCAAUGAACUGAAGUGCAAUCCAGAACUGAGGCAGGACCUACCUUAAGUAAGUUUAGGCUUGAGCAAUCAGCAGUGCUCUGAGACCUUUGCGUGGGACUGGCUCCACUCUGAGUUGAUGAGCUCGCCCUCCAUUUACACUUGCAAACCUCAGCCAUUGCACAUCAGAAUGUCCACCCACCUCCUCCAGCUAUUCAUGCCCAUGACAAACUGAACCGAAUCACACAAAAAGGCAAAGCGCACUUGGCACUGCAAGCAUUAUGUGGGGGCAUUACAGCCCUUCCCUUACAGAAAAGCUGUCCCCAGGCACAGAGAAGAACAACAAAACAAAUUGUUUGGCAAAACAGGAGAGUGAAAUCCCCACAGUGGAUAUAUAGCCUUCUGCGCUCAAGCUGCAUAAUGAACUCACCUCAUUACAUACAAUACUUUCAUCAUCAGAAAUAAUGAUAAGAAAAUGCCAGCUGUAGUCCCUUACUGAAACUGUAAACCAAAUUCAGACCUCAGAAGUAAUGGUCAAAAUCCUGCUGAACCAAUAGAAUCAGUCUGGAUUUACACUGGUACACCUGAGAGCAGAGCUUGGCUUUGGAAUUCAGAGUCUCCGAUUAACAAGUGUAGGCGUGAGUCUAAUGCCUUGUUUUAGAGAGAAAAA